UACGGGGGGGGCAAGCGUUGUUCGGAAUUACUGGGCGUAAAGGGUUCGUAGGUGGCCCACUAAGUCAGGCGUGAAAUCCCCGGGCUUAACCUGGGAACUGCACUUGAAACUACGAUGCUGGAGUAUGGCAGAGGGAGGUGGAAUUCCACGUGUAGCGGUGAAAUGCGUAGAGAUGUGGAGGAACACCGAUGGCGAAGGCAGCCUCCUGGGCCAAUACUGACGCUCAUGCACGAAAGCGUGGGGAGCAAACAGG
rnacentral:rRNA from 1 species